GUGCUUGCUUUGGCAGCACAUAUACUAAAAUUGGAACAACACAGAGAUUAGCAUGGCCCCUGCGCAUGGAUGACAAUUUGUAAGUGCAACAGUUUACUUAAUGAA
rnacentral:snRNA from 1 species